CGUGGCGUCAUAAUGCUGCAACAGGCGAUGUGUCUGCUAGGAUUCAGCUGAGGAAAGUCCAUUACUCUCAUCGUCUUAAACAUGACAAAAUGUGCAAACAAGUAGGAAAGGUGAAACAGCAGAGAUCUAUAUGACAUAGGAUUAUAGACAUGGAGUUUAAGAGUGAAGACGUACGAAUUCCAGAACCAUGCAAACUGAAAAAUGAAGACACUAAGGACCAAAUAGCUAGCGUGCGAUCUCUACGCAGAAGCUGCACGCGCUCGUGACUCUAGCUCCGCCCAAAGCACUGACGGCAGACACGCCUCCAGGAUCCUUCACAGCCUAGCCUAUCCUGCACCAGUGACGACAGGAUUUUUUUCCAAAGAAAAUGGCAGGUGACAGAGGAAUAUACUUAUAAAUGGAGCAAGGAGCAGACAGCUGAGUUUAUUAAAAAUGAGGGCUGAAAAUGUUACCGGGGCCAAAAAUUCGGCCAGUGUGGCUUGGUGAGCUGAUGGAUGUGAAAGUGGAAAGUCAAGAACUGAAUGAAGCUGAGAAGAAACAUCAGUAUUACAGGCCUUGCAGAUUCAAAACUGGACAAGAAUCUUUUAAUGGCUCACAGACAGUUAAGAAUUUGCCACAAAAAAGAUCUAAAAAUUCUUUUACCUGCCCUCAAUGUGGAAAGAGUUUCACACAAAAAGGUCACCUUAAGGCUCACAUAAGAAUUCACACUGGAGAGAAGCCGUUUACUUGCCAGCACUGUGGAAAGAGUUUCACACAAAAAGGAAACCUUAAGGAUCACGUACGAAUUCACACUGGAGAGAAGCCAUUCACAUGUCAUCAGUGUGGAAUGAGUUUUACAUAUAAAAGAAGCCUUAAUGAUCACAUUGGAAUUCACACUGGAGAGAGUCCUUUCACAUGCUCUCAGUGUGGAAAUAGUUUCACACAUAAAGGUGACCUUAAGAGACACAGAAGAAUUCACACUGGAGAGAGGCCUUUCAGUUGUCACCUGUGUCAAAAGAGUUUCACUCGUAAAGAACAUCUUAAAACUCACACAAGGAUUCACUCUGAAGAGAACCCUUACGUAUGCCCUCAGUGUGGAAAGAGUUUCAAACAUCUAAGUAACAUAAGAAGACAUAUGACAAUUCAUUCAGAAAUUAAAUUACACUAAUCACAGAGGUGGGUUGUAAUGAAGUACAUUUACUUCGUUACUUUUACUUGAGUAAAGUUUUUGAAAUUUUGUACCGUUAAGAGUAGAUUUAAAUGUUUUACAUUUAACAAUACAUUUCUAAAGAAAAAAAACACCGGGCGACAUUCCUCUCAUUACCUUAUUCUAAUGCAAUACAUAUAAAUGUAGUUUAUUCCAAGCGCUGUCUUUUUUUUUUUUUUUUUUUUUUUUGGGGCAUAAGCAUGCCCCAUUCACAAAUUAGUCAUUCUUUUUAGUCGAUUCUGUUCAAAGACUUCAUCAAACAAGUUGAUAACUUUUUUUAAAACCUUAAUUUAUACAUUAAAUAAGCUACCAUUGUUAACAGAGUAUGAAAUGAACACCGUUAACCCACAAUUUGUGGGUAUUGUGCGGUGGCGGGGACCUGUUUGUCUUGAAAAGGAAUGCCUUUGCUUAGAAACAGUUAAGGACUUUGCAUGCAUUUGCAGAAAUAUACAUGUGAUUAAAUUUUAGAGAAUAAAGAAGAUCCGUCAAUGUAUAUUUGACCGUUGUUUGUGUUCAGAUGCUCAGUAGCAGUCAUCAGCGUGAGCACGUUCCCUUUACAUGCCUUUGAGCGCAAAACUCUGCACUUACUUUAUUUUGACAUUGUCUAAUAAUCCAUAUGUAUCUGUAUAUGUUAUUAUACAAAGCAUAGGAUAUGUAGGCCUAAUGAUAUUGGGGCUACAAAUGAAAUGCCAGAAAUAAUGCUUGUCUCUUCUGUGUUUGUUGCUAAGAUAUUUAAUUAUGAUAAUAAUAUAAUCAUUAACUUGUAGCUACUUGAGUAGUUUUUUUUCAUUGGAUACUUUUUUACUCUUACUCAAGUAACUAUUAAGGUUAUUAGUUUUACUUGAAUAAAUAUUUCUAUAAGUACUUGUACUUUUUUUAUAUGUAAAUCCUUUAUAUUUAAGCACAGAGAACUCUUUUGUCACCAGGUAUUUUUAUAUGUGGUUAAACUGAUGCCAUUACAACUUGGGCUACCUUUUCUAGGCUCUAUUUUAAAACAUUCCAAUUGAAACUGUUUGAUGCAGUUUGUAUAUUCUGUAUUCUUUUAAUGGUAAAUACUAAAUAGUGUGUAUAUUAUUUUUUAUUUUUAUAUUGUGCCCAGUAUUCUGUGUAUUGCAUACACCGAUCAGGCAUAACAUUAUGAUCGUGAAGUGAAUAACACUGAUUAUCUCUUCAUCACGACACCUGUUAGAGGGUGGCAGCAAGUGAACCUUUUGUCCUCAAAGUUGAUGUGUUAGAAGCAGGAAAAAUGGGAAAGUGUAAGGACUUGAGCAAGUUUGACAAGGGCCAAAUUGUGAUGCCUAGACGACUGGGGCAGAACAUCUCCAAAACUGCAGCUUUUGUGGGGUGUUCCCGGUCUGCAGUGGUCCGUAUCUAUCAAAAGUGGUCCAAGGAAGGAACAGUGAACCGGAGAGAGGGUCAUGGGCGGCCAAGGCUCAUUGA